GGGGGGGCCGCACCAAGCGGGGGAGCAUGUGGGUUUAAUUAGAUGCAAACGCGAAGAACCUUACCUACUCUUUGACAUCUACAGAAGCCAGCGGAGACGCAGGUGUGCCUUCGGGAACUGUAAGACAGGUGCUGCAUGGCUGUCGUCAGCUCGUGUUGUGAAAUGUUGGGUUAAGUCCCGCAACGAGCGCAACCCUUAUCCUUGUUUGCCAGCACUUCGGGUGGGAACUCCAGGGAGACUGCCGGUGAUAAACCGGAGGAAGGUGGGGACGACGUCAAGUCAUCAUGGCCCUUACGAGUAGGGCUACACACGUGCUACAAUGGCGCAUACAGAGGGCGGCCAACUUGCGAAAGUGAGCGAAUCCCAAAAAGUGCGUCGUAGUCCGGAUUGGAGUCUGCAACUCGACUCCAUGAAGUCGGAAUCGCUAGUAAUCGUGGAUCAGAAUGCCACGGUGAAUACGUUCCCGGGCCUUGUACACACCGCCCGUCACACCAUGGGAGUGGGCUGCAAAAGAAGUGGGUAGUUUAACCUUCGGGAGGACGCUCACCACUUUGUGGUUCAUGACUGGGGUGAAGUCGUAACAAGGUAACCG
rnacentral:rRNA from 1 species